CGUGAGGGAACCAAGUCAGAGUGUUCGUCCCGCGGUGGAAGCCGGGGCUCCGCACACCAGGGGCUCGAGGCCGGGAGAGGGGGAGCCUCGAUCUUCGGCCAGGGUCCCGAGGGUGGGGGCGCCCGGAUCCUCUCUGGGCCCGGAGGACGGACGAUCUUCGCCCAGACCCCGGAGGCCCCCCGGGUCCUCAAUCCUCUCCCUGGGCCCAAGGUAUGGGGCGCCCUAACCCUAGCCCACGCUCCCCCCCUUACCGGUCGCGGGGGUCGAUCCACGACGUCUGGCGCGUGUUGUGGUCGAUGUAGAAGACUCGGCCAUCGUAGUCGCGCGCCUCCUCCCAGCCGGCAGGCAGCGGCAGCUCGGCGCUCUCCCGGGCCCGAAGCGGUGGCGGCGCGGAGGGCGCCGAGGGCGCAGGGGCACGGGGACCGCGGCGGGGGCGCGGCCGGCGGCGGCUCCCGCAGGGCUGCGCCGGUUGCGGUGGCUCCGCAGGGCCUCGCGGGGCUGUCCCCGCCGCCGCCGCCGGCCGCCGCUCAGCCACGGCAUGACGGCGCGGGCCCCGCCGCCGCCGGCCGCCCACGCGCGCCGCCUCGUCCGCCAGCACUAAGGCCCGGCGCUCGGGGCGCGGGGCGGCCGCGGGACCGCCCGCCGCGCCCGGUGCAUCCUCCGCCCGGCGCCCGCGCACCGGUGCCCGCCUGCCUCCUGCCGCCUGCCGCCCACCCGGCCCUGCGCGCCGCCGCCUGCAGUGCCUGGAUCACUCGGGUGGCCGCCGCGCGUGGAGUCACAGCCCUAGAGCUGCCGCAGCCGCUGCCGGCAGCCCCUCAGUUCCCGCGGCUCGCCCGGCCAUCUUCGUUUCACAGCACCGUCUUAGGGGCGGGGCUACACAGGCCCCGCCCUGUCGGUGGGCCCGGCCCUCCCUCCACCCCUUCGUCCUCCGCGGCUCCUCCCCUGCUUGCUGCAAGCCCUUCGAUCUCCCUUGGCUGCUCCGCCUCCAAUCUCCCUUGGGGGCUCCUUGGCUCUCGGCCCUUCUGGCCCCGACCCCCUCACCCCCGCCCGCUGCUUCUACUCCUCCUCCCCCGCCGGCUGUUCCAACCCUCCCAACGCUCGCCCCCUGCUCCUCGGUCUUCCCCUCCUGCUCCGCGCGCUCCUCCCUCUUCUCUCCUCCACCACCUCCUUGGGCCUCGCCGGGAAACCGCACGGGGGCCAGAAUGGGCGCCGCCGCGUCCGUCCGCCCCCGGGCCACCGCGGAGAGGAAGGAGGGCCGGGAGAUUGGCGGCCCCACCCGGGCUGCAGACGCGGCCUGCCGGGGGCUGA
rnacentral:lncRNA from 1 species